AUUGAACGCUGGCGGCAUGCCUAACACAUGCAAGUCGAACGGAGGCAGCGAUGCCUCAGUGGCGGACGGGUGAGGAACGCGUAGGAAUCGACCCACGAGUGGGGGACAACCUGGGGAAACUCAGGCUAAUACCGCAUACGCUCGCGAGAGGAAAGCGGGGGACCUUCGGGCCUCGCGCUGGUGGACGAGCCUACGUCCGAUUAGCUGGUUGGUGGGGUAAAAGCCUACCAAGGCGACGAUCGGUAGCGGGUCUGAGAGGACGACCCGCCACACUGGGACUGAGACACGGCCCAGACUCCUACGGGAGGCAGCAGUGGGGGAAUAUUGGACAAUGGGCGCAAGCCUGAUCCAGCAAUGCCGCGUGGGUGAAGACGGCCUGCGGGUUGUAAAGCCCUUUAGGCGGGAGGAACGGUCGGGUGCGAAGACCACCCGGCGCUGACGUUACCCGCAGAAUAAGCACCGGCUAACUCCGUGCCAGCAGCCGCGGUAAU
rnacentral:rRNA from 1 species